UACGUAGGGUGCAAGCGUUAAUCGGAAUUACUGGGCGUAAAGCGUGCGCAGGCGGUUAUGUAAGACAGAUGUGAAAUCCCCGGGCUCAACCUGGGAACUGCAUUUGUGACUGCAUAGCUAGAGUACGGUAGAGGGGGAUGGAAUUCCGCGUGUAGCAGUGAAAUGCGUAGAUAUGCGGAGGAACACCGAUGGCGAAGGCAAUCCCCUGGACCUGUACUGACGCUCAUGCACGAAAGCGUGGUGAGCAAACAGG
rnacentral:rRNA from 1 species